CCACCAGUCACUCUACCACUCUGCUCCCUCACUCUCUCUCUCCUCUCUUCCUCUCUCUCUCCUCUCUAAACGCAGACUAUAAAUUUCAGCAAAUAAACAAACGCCGUCACCUAACACUCCGGCAGUUUAUCAAAGUCCCGCUCACCUUCAGCUCCCGAAAGCCGUCACCACCCCUAUACUCGCACAACGACAACACACCCACACGCAGAACGAUGAACCAGAGGCUCUCUUUCCCAUAAAACGACACCGUAAGGUUUCAAAAUCCGUACCGAUCGAUUGGCGCCGGGAAAAGUGAAGGUUCAGAUCAACCACUCCGACGGCCUAGGGUUCCGACGAGGAAGGUUGAAUCGUUGUUCGCUGAUUGAUUGCUCUCUCGCUCUCUCUGCUCAAAUGGCUUCGGAGGAUGUGAAACCGAGCGAAUCGGCGGUCUCGACGAUCGUCAACCUGGCUGAGGAGGCGAAGAUGGCGAGGGAGGGCGUGGUAAAGGCUCCGAACCUCGCGUUGCUCAGCGUCUGCAAGUCUCUCGUUGCUGGAGGAGUCGCCGGUGGAGUGUCACGCACGGCUGUUGCUCCAUUGGAACGACUGAAAAUUUUGCUUCAGGUCCAGAAUCCACAUAACAUAAAAUACAAUGGAACGAUACAAGGCUUGAAGUAUAUCUGGAGAAGUGAGGGUUUCCGUGGACUAUUUAAAGGGAAUGGUACGAAUUGUGCUCGUAUUGUCCCCAACUCAGCUGUCAAGUUCUUCAGCUAUGAGCAAGCUUCCAAGGGAAUAUUGUGGCUGUAUCGGGAUCAAACUGGCAAUGAAGAUGCUCAGCUCACUCCAAUCCUACGUCUUGGAGCUGGAGCAUGUGCUGGAAUUAUUGCUAUGUCUGCAACUUACCCAAUGGACAUGGUACGAGGACGGAUAACUGUACAGACAGAGAAUUCUCCCUUUCAGUACAGGGGAAUGUUCCAUGCCCUAUCGACUGUGCUCCGGGAGGAGGGCCCACGGGCUUUGUACAAGGGCUGGCUUCCUUCUGUUAUUGGAGUAGUUCCAUAUGUUGGUCUCAACUUUGCUGUGUAUGAAUCCCUAAAAGAUUGGUUAAUCAAAAGUAGGCCAUUUGGACUUGUUCAAGAUACAGAUUUGAGCGUGACAACAAGGUUGGCAUGCGGGGCUGCUGCUGGAACUGUUGGGCAAACUGUUGCUUACCCUCUUGAUGUUAUCGUCGAAGGAUGCAGAUGGGGGGAUGGAGCCAUGCUGCUUCUGUUGUCAGUGGUGAUGGGAUAAGCAAGGCCCCACUUGAGUAUACUGGCAUGAUUGACGCAUUUAGGAAAACUGUUCGUCAUGAGGGCUUUGGUGCAUUGUACAAGGGUUUGGUUCCCAACUCUGUUAAGGUAGUCCCAUCCAUUGCGCUUGCAUUUGUGACGUACGAGAUGGUGAAGGACGUUUUAGGAGUCGAGAUCAGGAUAUCGGACUGAUAUUGCGGGAGGUCCAUGAUAUUUGUCUGUGCUCGUGCUAUUUUUGUAGGUCGGGAAAUAGAGGUCUGGCAAACUAGGGGUAAUUUGAUUCCUUUUUCAUUCUGAAGUUAGAAGCGAGUCUGAGCUUGUGUUCAUAAAUUGCUUCCCCUUGUUUUUCAUUUUUUCUGUUUCCUUAUGAACACAAUGUAGCUUUGAGCUUCCCAUUCAUAUGAAGUGCCAAUAAGUGUUUUGACAAUGUAAAACAUGCAUCUGCAUGCCUUCCAUAAGCACUGAUAAAGCAUUAUCUACAUGCCGUUAUAUGUUA